rnacentral:rRNA from 1 species
CCUACGGGUGGCAGCAGUAGGGAAUUUUGCGCAAUGGGCGAAACCCUGACGCAGCAACGCCGCGUGAUCGAUGAAGCCCUUCGGGGUGUAAAGCUCUGUCAGUGGGGACGAAACCUGACGGUACCCACAGCUGAAGCACCGGCUAACUCCGGGCCAGCAGCCGCGGUAAUACGGGGGGUGCCAGCGUUGUCCGGAAUCAUUGGGCGUAAAGGGUUCGUAGGUGGCAAGUUAAGUCUGGUGUUAAAGGCGGAAGCUCAACGUCCGUAGGGCACUGGAUACUGGCGAGCUGGAUUGCGGUAGAGGUAAAGGGAAUUCCUGGUGUAGCGGUGAAAUGCGUAGAUAUCAGGAGGAACAUCGGUGGCGUAGGCGCUUUACUGGGCCGUAAUUGACACUGAGGAACGAAAGCCGGGGUAGCAAAUGGGAUUAGAUACCCCUGUAGUC